AACUCAUGGUGAGGGCACCUUCUCAAUAGGUCCUUGUAUUUCUCCCAUGCAUCAUAAAGUGUUUCUAAAUCCAUCUGCACAAAAGAAGAAAUAUCAUUUCUUAAUUU
rfam:Gossypium arboreum cultivar AKA8401 contig_28171_1, whole genome shotgun sequence.